CCUACGGGUGGCAGCAGUAGGGAAUCUUCCACAAUGGGCGCAAGCCUGAUGGAGCAACACCGCGUGAGUGAAGAAGGUCUUCGGCUCGUAAAGCCCUGUUGUUGGAGAAGAACGUGCGUGAGAGUAACUGUUCACGCAUGGACGGUAUCCAACCAGAAAGUCACGGCUAACUACGUGCCAGCAGCCGCGGUAAUACGUAGGUGGCAAGCAUUAUCCGGAUUUAUUGGGCGUAAAGGGGGCGCAGGCGGUGGUUUAAGUCUGAUGUGAAAGCCUUCGGCUUAACCGAAGGAGUGCAUCGGAAACCGGGAGACUGGAGUGCAGAAGAGGACAGUGGAACUCCAUGUGUAGCGGUGAAAUGCGUAGAUAUAUGGAAGAACACCAGUGGCGAAGGCGGCUGUCUGGGCUGCAACUGACGCUGAGGCUCGAAAGCGUGGGUAGCAAACAGGAUUAGAUACCCGAGUAGUC
rnacentral:rRNA from 1 species